UUGGGUGGAGUUUGUUUUUAUUCGAUUUCACUAUGUUAUAUUUGUUGUUUCAGAUUUCUUAGUAUAAAAUAUAUAUUGGGUGAACAACAAUCUGCAAGACAUUCCAACAGCAGAAUGAAAAACUUUUGCUGUGUAUGUUCGCAUUAUAUAAGCUUACAUUGGACAAGAUCGUUUAAGAUAUGGGUUUUUGAGAGUUGAAUCGGCUUGUACUUCUUCUCAGCUCGUCGGAACCUUGUCGUAUCCGUACAUUUCGAACGACGAAAUUGGAAAGGGAUUUGCUGGGUUUUAAGUUAUUAUAAUAAUGGGUUGAACAAUAUUCCAUGAAAUUAUAUAUAAUUACUAUAAAUCUUCCUAUCGUGAUAUCAUAUAAGGCGUUUUCGUGGAUUUAUUUUGUCAUUGUCCAAUUAUAAUAUACGUGGUUUGAUAGUAGAUAUAGAUUUUUCAGGAAACAACAUUAUGUUUAUACGUGGCUCCCCACCUGUAUAAACAUUAUGUAACAAGAUAUAGAUUUUUCUGUUUUUCUGUUUUUGUUUAAAUAUGAAUUUGAAUUAAAUAUAUAUUUUUGUAUUAAAUAAAUAUAAAUUUGUUUAAAAUAAAACAAAUUAUAUUAUUAUUUGUAUUUAUGGAUUUACAUGGAGUAGUGUAUGCAAGUAUUUCAUAUACCCAAUUUUCUAAAAGUAAAUAAUAAGUAUUAUUUUAUUGUGAUUUAUA